UAGGGAAUCUUCCACAAUGGACGAAAGUCUGAUGGAGCAACGCCGCGUGAGUGAAGAAGGGUUUCGGCUCGUAAAACUCUGUUGUUAAAGAAGACCAUAUCUGAGAGUAACUGUUCAGGUAUUGACGGUAUUUAACCAGAAAGCCACGGCUAACUACGUGCCAA
rnacentral:rRNA from 1 species